rnacentral:tRNA from 1 species
UGUGGCUCAGUGGUAGAGCUCUUGCCUUGCAUGCAUGGGCCCCUGGGUUCGAUUCCUCAGCA